AGAACGAACGCUGGCGGCAUGCCUAACACAUGCAAGUCGAACGUGAUCCGGGGCUUGCUCCGGUGAAAGUGGCGGACGGGUGAGUAACGCGUGGGAACCUGCCCAGUGGUCGGGGAUAACUGCGGGAAACUGCAGCUAAUACCCGGUAAGCCCUACGGGGGAAAGAUUUAUCGCCAUUGGAGGGGCCCGCGUCGGAUUAGGUAGUUGGUGGGGUAAAGGCCUACCAAGCCUUCGAUCCGUAGCUGGUCUGAGAGGAUGAUCAGCCACACUGGGACUGAGACACGGCCCAGACUCCUACGGGAGGCAGCAGUGGGGAAUAUUGGACAAUGGGGGCAACCCUGAUCCAGCAAUGCCGCGUGUGUGAAGAAGGCCUUCGGGUUGUAAGCACUUUAUCCGGAACGAACGCGCAGGCGAAUAACCUUGCGAACUGACGGUACCGGAGGAAUAAGCACCGGCUAACUUCGCGCCAGCAGCCGC
rnacentral:rRNA from 1 species